AUACGGAGGGGGCUAGCGUUGUUCGGAAUUACUGGGCGUAGAGCGCGCGUAGGCGGAUUGGUCAGUUAGGGGUGAAAUCCCAGGGCUUAACCCUGGAACUGCCUCUAAUACUGCCAGUCUUGAGUUCGGGAGAGGUGAGUGGAAUUCCUAGUGUAGAGGUGAAAUUCGUAGAUAUUAGGAAGAACACCAGUGGCGAAGGCGGCUCACUGGCCCGAUACUGACGCUGAGGCGCGAAAGCGUGGGGAGCAAACAGGAUUAGAAACCCUUGUAGUCC
rnacentral:rRNA from 1 species